rnacentral:misc_RNA from 1 species
CGUAACAAGGUCUCCGUUGGUGAACCAGCGGAGGGAUCAUUACCGAGUUUACAACUCCCAAACCCCUGUGAACAUACCUAUACGUUGCCUCGGCGGAUCAGCCCGCGCCCCGUAAAACGGGACGGCCCGCCCGAGGACCCCUAAACUCUGUUUUUAGUGGAACUUCUGAGUAAAACAAACAAAUAAAUCAAAACUUUCAACAACGGAUCUCUUGGUUCUGGCAUCGAUGAAGAACGCAGCAAAAUGCGAUAAGUAAUGUGAAUUGCAGAAUUCAGUGAAUCAUCGAAUCUUUGAACGCACAUUGCGCCCGCCAGUAUUCUGGCGGGCAUGCCUGUUCGAGCGUCAUUUCAACCCUCAAGCUCAGCUUGGUGUUGGGACUCGCGGUAACCCGCGUUCCCCAAAUCGAUUGGCGGUCACGUCGAGCUUCCAUAGCGUAGUAAUCAUACACCUCGUUACUGGUAAUCGUCGCGGCCACGCCGUUAAACCCCAACUUCUGAAUGUUGACCUCGGAUCAGGUAGGAAUACCCGCUGAACUUAAGCAUAUCAAUAAGCGGAGGAAAAGAAACCAACAGGGAUUGCCCUAGUAACGGCGAGUGAAGCGGCAACAGCUCAAAUUUGAAAUCUGGCUCUCGGGCCCGAGUUGUAA